rnacentral:rRNA from 1 species
UACGUAGGGACCGAGCGUUGUCCGGAAUCAUUGGGCGUAAAGGGCGCGUAGGCGGUGCGGUAAGUCACCUGUGAAAUCUCCUGGCUCAACUGGGAGCUUGCAGGCGAAACUGCCGUGCUGGAGUGUGGGAGAGGUGCGUGGAAUUCCUGGUGUAGCGGUGAAAUGCGUAGAUAUCAGGAGGAACACCUGUGGCGAAAGCGGCGCACUGGACCACAACUGACGCUGAGGCGCGAAAGCUAGGGGAGCAAACAGG